rnacentral:rRNA from 1 species
CAGAGGUUACUGCUAUSGCMGMYUCGACUAAGCCAUGCGAGUUGAAUGUUCUUCGUGAACAUGGCGGACUGCUCAGUAACACGUGGACAACCUACCCUUGGGUCCGGCAUAAUCCUGGGAAACUGGGAAUAAUUCCGGAUAGGUCACCGAUGCUGGAAUGCGCGGUGGCCGAAAGCUCCGGCGCCCGAGGAUGGGUCUGCGGCCUAUCAGGGUUGUAGUGGGUGUAACGUACCUACUAGCCUACGACGGGUACGGGUUGUGAGAGCAAGAGCCCGGAGAUGGAUUCUGAGACACGAAUCCAGGCCCUACGGGGUGCAGCAGGCGCGAAAACUUUACAAUGCGGGAAACCGUGAUAAGGGGAUCUCGAGUGCCAGCAUAUAAUGUUGGCUGUCCAGAUGCCUAAAAAGCAUCUGUUAGCAAGGGCCGGGCAAGACCGGUGCCAGCCGCCGCGGUAACACCGGCGGCCCGAGUGGUAACCGCUAUUAUUGGGUCUAAAGGGUCUGUAGCCGGCCAGGUAAGUCCCUUGGGAAAUCUGGCAGCUCAACUGUCAGGCUGCUAGGGGAUACUGUUUGGCUUGGGACCGGGAGAGGUGAGAGGUACCUUGGGGGUAGGGGUGAAAUCUUGUGAUCCUCGAGGGACCACCAGUGGCGAAGGCGUCUCACCAGAACGGGUCCGACGGUAAGGGACGAAAGCUAGGGGCACGAACCGGAUUAGAUACCCGGGUAGUCCUAGCCGUAAACGAUGCUCGCUAGGUGUCAGUCACGGUGCGACCGUGAUUGGUGCCGUAGGGAAGCCGUGAAGCGAGCCACCUGGGAAGUAUGGCCGCAAGGCUGAAACUUAAAGGAAUUGGCGGGGGAGCACURCAWCGGGUGGAGCCUGCGGUUUAAUG